GACGAACGCUGGCGGCGUGCUUAACACAUGCAAGUCGAACGAUGAAGCCCAGCUUGCUGGGUGGAUUAGUGGCGAACGGGUGAGUAACACGUGGGCAACCUGCCCCAAACUCUGGGAUAACUCCUCGAAAGAGGUGCUAAUACCGGAUACGAACUAGACAGACAUCUGUACUAGUUGGAAAGUUUUUCGGUUUGGGAUGGGCCCGCGGCCUAUCAGCUUGUUGGUGAGGUAACGGCUCACCAAGGCUACGACGGGUAACCGGCCUGAGAGGGCGACCGGUCACACGGGGACUGAGACACGGCCCAGACUCCUACGGGAGGCAGCAGUGGGGAAUAUUGCGCAAUGGGCGAAAGCCUGACGCAGCGACGCCGCGUGAGGGAUGAAGGUCUUCGGAUCGUAAACCUCCUUCAGUAGGGACGAGGCGAAAGUGACGGUACCUAAAGAAGAAGCACCGGCUAACUACGUGCCAGCAGCCGCCGUAA
rnacentral:rRNA from 1 species